rnacentral:lncRNA from 1 species
GAGAAAGCGUGAGGUACGUUCUGUGAGGAAAGAUGUUCUGAGAUAUAAAAAAGUGAGGAAAAAGCGAGAGGGACGUUCUGUGAGGAGAGACGUUCUCAGAUAUAAAAAAGUGAAGAAAAAGCGAAAGAGGGACGUUCUGAGGAGAAAAAGUCUGAAGAGAGAAAAAGUGUGAAAAGAAAAAGUCCGAGGAGAAAAAGUGAGGAGAGAAAGAAGGGGAAAAAAGCGUUCUGAAGAGAAAAAGUGAGGAGAGGAAAAGCGAAAGGAAAGAGGAAAAAGCAAAGGGCAAGAGAAGCGACCAAGAAGCGGGUUUCUGACCAGCGCCGACGAGACAAUUCGCCCUUCCGUGUGCUUCGGCAAGCAAGCGUGUGGUGCGCGUGUGGGAGUGAGCAGCGCCGCCAACAAGGGAGGCACGGGUCGGUCACCAACAACACCAUGGUCUAAACCCGCGACGGACCAACAACACUAUGGUCUAAACCCACGACGGACGAUCUCGGUGCCCUCCAUACUUUGACUGGCGCUCAAGGCUGCCCCGCGAGAGGGUGCACGGCAAAGCUGGGUGCUGGCGACGGACGUGACACGCACGCACGCAUUUUCAGGACGUUUUCGCUUCACGGACUAUUUUCUGGCCAAUGACAGCCGAGCAAUGUGGUACCAGUGGCAUCAUGGAUUGAGGGUGAACGCAAAGCAGAUAAAAGGGGAGAGCAAACCACAGAGGAGGAGAUGCUCCGGAACCUGAUGAGGGAAAGCUAUGCACAGUCUCUUGGGGUUUCUUCGUGGACAUGUGAGCUGGUUUUAGACUGUCGUGAGACAACUGCCAAGGGCCCUGCAGUUGUUACGAGUGCAUAUGUGGAGAGACAAGGUUGUCCUGAAAAGAGGAAGAAACAUCCUCCCACCGUGGACAAAAUCAACUCCACCCACCCUGAACUCGUUCGUAUUUCAUCAGUAUUUUAUCACUUUCAAUGUUCGAGUAACAAUAUUUCCCUUCAUUUAUCAUUACGUGUUAAAUUAUAAUUGUACCCAUCGCCGGAAAAUAUAACAAUUUGAAAAUUUACAUUUUGCGUCUUGUAGUAUCUGUCGCACCGCUGCAACAUUGUUUUCUAGCUACUUGACGUUUGGUGAGGUGCGGUAUUUUAUUGUGAUAAAAUUUUGUAUGCUGUUUGUGUUGACAUUAUAUCUAUAACACACCAAUGGUAAAAGUUAUGUAACCCUUCAGUGUCAAUGUAUGUUUGUUCUGUGAUUUGCAACUCCUGGUAAUAUGCGAAGUCUUCGCACAUGCACAAUAAAAAGGGGAUCUUCAAGUCGAGCCCAUAUUGGAACAUGACGUGUUGUCAGUCCGUGCAUAACGACCAUCGAUGUGCUACCCAUGGUGUCAGAAGUAAACCUGAUAUAUGAAGGCAGUUUCAUAUAAGAAGAUUUACGUGAAGUACAAAGUACGUUACUGAACGAUGGCUUUCAAACCACCGA